rnacentral:rRNA from 1 species
UACGGGGGGGGGCAAGCGUUGUUCGGAAUUACUGGGCGUAAAGGGCUUGUAGGUGGCCAACUAAGUCAGACGUGAAAUCCCUCAGCUUAACUGGGGAACUGCUUCUGAUACUGGAUGGCUUGAGUUUGGGAGAGGGAUGCGGAAUUCCAGGUGUAGCGGUGAAAUGCGUAGAUAUCUGGAGGAACACCGGUGGCGAAGGCGGGUCUCUGGGCCGAUACUGACGCUGAGGAGCGAAAGCGUGGGGAGCGAACAGG